rnacentral:lncRNA from 1 species
ACUCGGGGGCGCGCACGUCGCUCCCCGCCCUCCCGCCGCCGUCGCCGCCCGCUCUUGCUCUCUCGCGCUCCCCGCCCGUCGCUCUCCGUCGGUUCUCUCGUUAGUCCACCGCCACCUCCACAGCCACCCGCCGUAGUCUUCGAGCUCGCGACUCGCGGACAGGCGUUCUCGGCGCGGAGAAGCCGGCCUUGGAGUCGUCGCCUUAGUGCCUUUCAUCUGAGAAGUUCAGGGCACUUUGUAGAACUUCUGCCACACAGGCCGUUGGUCUUGCAGCACAUUUGUAAGGUAUGUAAAUAGAAGACUCUUGUUUCAUUCCUUUCCCCCAUGGAGAGAGAUUAUUAUUAUAUAUGAGUGUAAGUUCUAGGGAAAUGUGGGUGCAACACUACUAAUGAUUUUCUUCUCUACUAAUCUCUAAUCUUAAGAUCUUUUUUUUUUCUUCCCUUUUUUUUUUUUUUUUUUUGCUGCCCUCUGGCAUUUGGAUUUCCUGGGCCAGGGAUCAGAUGCAAGCUGCAGUUGUGACCUAUGCUUCAGCUGUGGCAAAGCUGGAUCCUUAACCCACUGUGCUGAGCUGGCGGUUGAACCUGUGUCCUGGUGCUGCACAGAUGCCACUGAUCCUGUUGUGCCACAGCAGGAACUCCUUUCGACCUUUUGUUUUACUCCAUAACUUUUCUCUCUGAUUUUAUUUUCCUACCUUUCCCUGUAAGAUACUCCUUUAACUUCUUCCUUUUUCUCUUCUACUCUAACCAAUAUUUUUUCCUGUAUAGAUAUAUUUCCUAACCUCUUAAUCUUUAAGGAGAUGGAUUUACCAUAUCAUACACAUACUUCUCUCACUUCCUGAUCACUCUCAUCUUAUUUCUUCUGUUGUUCAUUUUUAAGUUUUCAUUUUUUUGAUAGAGUAGUUUGGUCAUCUUAUAGUUUAUGCACAGUCUCUGCUUUGGGUAUAUCUAAUUAUCAAUAAAAAAUAGGCUAACCAGAGAAUGCGAAUCAGAGAACAACCCUUCCUCUUACUGGAGGGGUCAGCAGUGAUACUGGCUUGGAUGGGAACAGUGUUAAUAUUAGGUGUAGCCACCCAUCCAGGGGCUAUUAAGGUAUUUUAAACUAAUCACAAAUAAAGGAAAUUGGAUCAUAUUAAUUUAAUUGAUACCAUGUAAGUAUCCUGGUCUGGUACCGUUUUGACUACCUUUUCUUGUUCUCCUUUAGUCUGAGCACUCUAGAAAGAAGUGAGCUGUUAAGGGGAUGAAUAUUCUCAGUUGGUGAGAAGGGCUACCUGGUAGGGAAGGCAUGUGAUGGUAGUGGUUUUGCUUGGCUUUGAACUUCUCCUUGGCAUUGUAAGAGGGAUGGCCACGCUAGCUUGCCAUUAUACACUCAGGAUCGAACCUGCAACCUCAUGGUUCCUAGUCAGAUUCAUUAACCACUGAGCCACGAUGGCAGCUCCCUGACUGUUUACAUUUUGAGGUCAGUGAUAUGGUGCUCCUGUAGGAAGCCAAAAGGUAUGUUCCCCCAGGAGUAUUUCUUGCCCCACCACCCAGCAAAGAAGAAUUUAAGUCUUGAGUGGUUCCCACUUGGCAGAAUAUUGGAGGCUUUGUCAUUCUCUGCUUGCCUUUUUGUACCUUAGGCCUGUUACUCUUGGUCUCUAAAAGAUCUUUUGCUGACAUUGACCCUUAGCAAAGCUGCUUGAUCAAGAUGGCCAAAUGAUGAUAUACCAGGCUCAAGCUCGUUGUGAACAAAUGGAUAGAUGGUAGUUUGGGCCUUCUUUCUAGAGGUUUCCUAUGUAGUCUACAAAUAAAAUAAAUGACUUUAUGUUUUCAGUUUAAUUUCCCAAGUGUUGAAUGGUGUUUCCAGUGUGCCAGACACAGUCCUAGGUAUGGAUGAACUUGGAGUUGACAGGACAGUUUUCUACCCAUUGCACUGAAACACAGUUUCUUCCUCUGACUUAAGGAGAUAGUAUGUAUUCUAUUCAUUUAUAUGUGUGUUGUAACAAAGGAUGGAGAAGGGUCCUGGAGAAAGGAGUGCUUAUGAAGAGUCUUACUUCAUAAAGGUUAUAUAUACUUCCUUUCAACCAGGUUCAUUGCUUGAACAAAAAUCUCAUUCCAGUUUGGUUGUUACUUUUAGUGCUAUCUGGAGAAAAGCCUGUAUUUUGACUUUUAUUUUCAGUUUUAGAGUCCUGAUAGCUUCAGGAGGGUGCAUUGUAGGGCAUCCUAUAAACUUUUCUUCAUGUACGUUUACGUAUAGGAAAUAUGGCUUUUGUAGAAAAAUUGAGAUCUUAAACCACUGAAAUAGUAUCAUUGUGUUUCAGAUAACUGAAGCUUGCUUCUUUAAUUCAUUAAUUAAUUUCGGCCACCCCUGAGGUAUAUGAAAGUUCCCAGGCCAGGGAUUGAGCUGAGCUGCUGCAGUUGGAUUCUUAAUCCACUGGGAGCCACAGAAGAAACUCCUUGUAGGAUUUUUAUGUGUCUUAAAAUUGCCUUUAAAAUUUUCAAGUUUAGGAGUGCCCGUCGUGGCGCAGUGGUUAAGGAAUCCGACUAGGAGCCAUGAGGUUGCGGGUUCGAUCCCUGGCCUUGCUCAGGGGCUUAAGGAUCCGGCGUUGCUGUGAGCUGUGGUAUAGAUUGCAGAUGUGGCUCGGAUCCCGAGUGGCUCUGGCAUAGCGGCUACAGCUCCGAUUCAACCCCUAGCCUGGGGACCUCCAUAUGCCGCAGGAGUGGCCCUAGAAAAGACCAAAAAAAAAAAAAAAAA